CGGACUGGUCAAUUUAUUGAACAGUUAGUGGCGUAAGGGUUAGUAACGGAUAGGUAACGUACCCUGUGCUUUGGGAUAGCGUCAGUUGCCUUCGGGCAACUUUCCGAAAGGGGCGGUAAUACCAGAUAAUAUCAUUUGUCGAUAGGCAGAUGAUCAAAGAUUUAUCGGCAUAGGAGCGGCCUGUUUCCUAUCAGCUUGUUGGUGAGGUAACGGCUCGCCAAGGCAACGACGGGUAGCGGGACUGAGAGGUUGACCCGCAACAUCGGGACUGAGACACUGCCCGGACCUCCACGGAGGGCUGCAGUAACGGAUCUUGUGCAAUGGGCGAAAGCCUGACACAGCGACGCCGCGUGUAGGAUGAAGUCACUCGGGAUGUAAACUACUGUCAGGGGGAAGAAAGUGCGCUCCGGCGUAUUGAUCUAACCCAGAGGAAGUCACGGCUAACUUCGUGCCAGCAGCCGCGGUAAGACGAAGGUGGCAAGCGUUGUUCGGUAUUACUGGGCUUAAGGCGUGUGUAGGCGGAAAUGUAAGCGUUGCGUGAAAGCCCCCGGCUUAACCGGGGAAUUGCGCAACGAACUGCUUUUCUUGAGGCAAGUAGGGGUGCAUGGAACUCUUGGUGGAGCGGUGGAAUGCGUAGAUAUCAAGAGGAACGCCAGUGGAGAAAUCGGUGCACUGGGCUUGUUCUGACGCUGAGACACGAAAGCGUGGGGAGCGAACGGGAUUAGAUACCCCGG
rnacentral:rRNA from 1 species